GAUGAACGCUGGCGGCGUGCCUAAUACAUGCAAGUCGAGCGAACAGACGAGGAGCUUGCUCCUCUGACGUUAGCGGCGGACGGGUGAGUAACACGUGGAUAACCUACCUAUAAGACUGGGAUAACUUCGGGAAACCGGAGCUAAUACCGGAUAAUAUAUUGAACCGCAUGGUUCAAUAAUGAAAGACGGUUGUGCUGUCACUUAUAGAUGGAUCCGCGCCGCAUUAGCUAGUUGGUAAGGUAACGGCUUACCAAGGCAACGAUGCGUAGCCGACCUGAGAGGGUGAUCGGCCACACUGGAACUGAGACACGGUCCAGACUCCUACGGGAGGCAGCAGUAGGGAAUCUUCCGCAAUGGGCGAAAGCUUGACGGAGCAACGCCGCGUGAGUGAUGAAGGUCUUCGGAUCGUAAAACUCUGUUAUUAGGGAAGAACAAAUGUGUAAGUAACUAUGCACGUCUUGACGGUACCUAAUCAGAAAGCCACGGCUAACUACGUG
rnacentral:rRNA from 1 species